UACAGAGGGGGCAAGCGUUGUUCGGAAUUACUGGGCGUAAAGGGCGCGUAGGCGGCCUUCUAAGUCAGACGUGAAAUCCCUCGGCUCAACCGGGGAACUGCGUCUGAUACUGAAAGGCUUGAAUCCGGGAGAGGAAUGCGGAAUUCCAGGUGUAGCGGUGAAAUGCGUAGAUAUCUGGAGGAAAACCGGUGGCGAAGGCGGCAUUCUGGACCGGCAUUGACGCUGAGGCGCGAAAGCCAGGGGAGCAAACGGG
rnacentral:rRNA from 1 species